rfam:Dipodomys ordii contig_45175, whole genome shotgun sequence.
GGUGGCUCAGUGGUAGAGCGCUUGCCUUGCAAACCAGAGGCCCUGGGUUCUAUUCCUCAGCACCA